AUUGAACGCUGGCGGCAGGCCUAACACAUGCAAGUCGAGCGAGCGGCGGACGGGUGAGUAAUGUAUGGGGAUCUGCCCGAUAGCGGGGGAUAACUACUGGAAACGGUGGCUAAUACCGCAUACUAUCGGAUGACCCCAUAUGGGAUUAGCUAGUAGGUGGGGUAAAGGCUCACCUAGGCGACGAUCACUAGCUGGUCUGAGAGGAUGAUCAGCCACACUGGGACUGAGACACGGCCCAGACUCCUACGGGAGGCAGCAGUGGGGAAUAUUGGACAAUGGGGGCAAGCCUGAUGCAGCCAUGCCGCGUGUAUGAAGAAGGCCUUAGGGUUGUAAAGUACUUUUGGCGGGGAGGCGGUACCCGCAGAAGAAGCACCGGCUAACUCCGUGCCAGCCGCCGCGGUAAUUC
rnacentral:rRNA from 1 species